UUACUAGCCUAUUAGUAUCCAUGGGGAUCCAUAGGGGUCCCGCUACCCGUGGACCUUUAACACUUGUAAUCAGAUUCCAGGGCCGUCCCCAUACCCCGUUCGGUAUGGGCGCCAAAACCAUAAACCUCAAUACCCCGUCCGGUAUGGGCGCCAAAACACAUAGGGUCUCCAUACCCCGUCCGGUAUGAGAGACCACAAUCCCGGUAGGGUUCCCUACGGACCCGGUCCGUCCACCAUCUCCCAUGAUAUCUAGUCAGGCUGAUCGCAUUAUACAAUUAACAAUUUACAUGACCUUUCAUUCCCCUUUUCCUCAGUCAGCAUCAUCAAUUCACACACAAACAAACAAAAUAGUAAUUUAUGCCAAACAAGAUAACAUACAGCAUCGGUUUCUCAGUCAUUCAACCCAUAAUCAAUAAAACAGUAAAAUAUGCACACGAAACAAUGAAAUGAAAACAUCAGACCUCAUACUGCAUUUAAAACUGUAAAAUAUGCCGAAUAACAGUUAACCGACCAACACACUAGACUCGGGCUCCAUUGGCGACCUUAAGCAAUUUCACACAUUCGUUGAUUCAAGAAUUUCCGUUUUAUCAUUAUUGAACUUUAAUACCGUGAUAGGAAAUAGGGUGAGGGGUCCUUACUCGUUUCGGGGUCCGAACACGGCUUCACAGUGAGC
rnacentral:lncRNA from 1 species